ACAAUCACAAAAUUGUGACAAAUAAAAAUACAUUUGAGUCAUGAAGUCGAAACAAGUUAGUGGCUCUGUAAUCUCCUUAAUAUCCACUGUUAUUGAACAGCUUCUCGUACUUGGAUAAUCAACUCCCGUUCAUUUUGUACUGGUGUACAGUAAUCCAUUGGCAAAUUCGUGAAAGGAGUUUCAAAAAUAACAGUGUCGAGAUUAGAAGAGAAAAGCAAAUACGAAAAAACGUGUGCGUUAAACAACUCCACUCAACAACAAACAGAACGGGUUGUAAAAUAGCAUGAGAAGACAAAGCUCUGCAUUACAGGUUGGUACUAGAUUAUUUGUUACUAAUAGAGGCUCUAAUAUAAUGUGAUUAUUUGAA